GUCUCUGUGGUCCCAGGGCACAGUUCUAGAGUGAAAAGCUGCAGUGACUGGGCGCCGCUCUAAGGAUUUGGAAGCGACUGCACUCGCUCGUCCGCCUGGACUCGGGCAGCCUUCGCGCAGCACGCUCGCUGGCUCCCUUCUCUCCGGGUCUCUCCGGCUCGGACGGGCCCUCCCGGCCUGUCACCCACUCCAGCUCGCCUCUCCUGCCGUGUCUCCCCACGCCAGCUCCGCGCGCUCGGCGCUGCUGCCCCGGGGCUCUCUCCGCGCCGCCGCCGAGGCUCAGCGCGCAGACUGGGCGCCCCCCGCACGCCCACAGGCCGGGACUAGGGAUUGAAGGGUCAACCCGCGGCGGGGAGGCGGGGAGGAGCAGCCAGAAGAGCUGGGGCAAGUGGGGACCUGCGGGUGGGAGUGGGAGGAGGCGGGAGAGUGAGCCCAAGAAAAAAGAAGAUGCAUCUGUUCUGAAAACGCCAAUGAAGAAAGGACAGAGCGGGCAGGAGUGGAGUGGAGGAGAGAACGCCCAUCAGGAGGGGUAGGCAAACGGGCAAUUUACAAAGUGCCAGGGCGAGAGAUGCCGAACGAAGAAGGAAGGAGGUUUGAGGGAGAGAAGAAAAAAUAAGGGGAAGUUCCCACCUCUCCCCAAAGACUCAGCUUCAUCUCGCUCAACUCUGGCAAAUUACCCUCCAAGUAAAAUGAAUUGGCUUUAUGAAGAAACGGAAGCUGAAUUUCCUCCACGGUGGACUCCUCCUGAGGCUCAAAAGAAUGUUAAUACUGUUCUCGUUAUCCAUGGGCUCCAAACCAUUCCGCUUCCUCGAGAGGAGAGACGAAAACCAGGCGCUUGGGCACGCGUAUAUGUAUUUAUAUAUUAUGCGGUCGGUAUAUAAACAUAUAUACGUUUUCUGCAUGUAAAUCCAAAAAGAAGAGCACCACAGAUGCUUCUGAAAGCGGGAGGGGAGGAGGAAGAGCAAAACUUGGCAAGCCAAACGUAUCCAAAGAUUUCGUACCAGGAGCCACCUGCUUCAAUACGUAGAAUUCCCGAGAAGAUUUAGAGGGAGAAGAAAAAAAAUUAAAAAUAAAAUACCCAAGACACACACUUGAAACUGGAAGACACCUAUGAAUCGUGGAAACGAAGAGGAUGAGAUCUCCCGAUGCUACAGAUCCUCAGCUAAGUGAGCAAUCCUCUCCGAAAAUCAUAGGCGGGGAGGUGGCUGCAGAUGCGUCCCCUGCUCCGGUCCCCGCCGCCGCCGCCGCCGUUGCUACCUGUAGACACGCACACACACGCACACACUCGCGCGCGCACAGCAACCUCCGCUCUCUCCCUCUGCCCCCGCUCUCCGCGCGUCGCCGGGUGCAGGAGUCUGUAUCAAGCUAGACCCAUCCUCCAGACCCGGUCCUGCCCCCUCAGAACUACGGUUUCCUCCCCUGCCUGGCCCUCCCCGCCUGGUUAAUGGCACGGCACCCCGUCCCCAGCGCGCCCCCACCCCCGGGUCGGAGCCGCGGUCGUGGUGCGGGCGGGCUUCGGGGGCGCGGGUCCGGCGGUGGCAGAGGUGCUGCUGCUGGUGGUCCCUCCCUUUACAAGUCCCCCCGCCUCCCUCACUCCUCCCGCGGCAGCCCGGCGUCCUCCGCCCGCAGCGCCCGCGGUGGCAGGAGGGGUGAAGGGCCCCGGGCGUCACGUGUGACGUUCACCAAACCACUCGGAGGAGCGAGCGAGUGAACUGGCGACGCCGCCAAGCCGCGCGCGCGAGGCCUCGGACGCACUGAGUGUCUCUGGUCUAGGGGUUACUGCGCUCCCUUCCAGGCGUUUCGUCUUGGUGUCGAGUUGGAGACAAAGCCUUUCACUGUGCCUCUUCAUUUUUAUUUUCCUCCUGGUAGAUCUCCUGCCACCACUCUCCUCUUCCCUGUUUCCUCUAGCUAGAGGCAGAGUAAUCUCCGCAUGGAAGCGUUGGCUAUAGCCCCUUUGGUGGGAGUAGUGUAAAUGCUACGCCACCGCCUUUGGCCUCUCCCUCCUGGCUGCGCCCACAUCUUCUGCCGCUGGAUAGGUGAUUUUUGAGAAUUCAUCAUAGCUAAUCAUUGUUGGCUUUUGCGUCGGGUGUGACUCACUAUAGCACAUUGUUUACACCUACCUACCCCCUACUAGCCUCUCUGUGUGAAUUUUUAAAUGCAAAUGAGUUGGGGGCUAGAGCCCUGCCAACAGAACCACCAAAUUAAUUGAUUGCCACGUGUAGUAAUUAUAGCAAAGAAAGAAAAAUCCACGAGUAGGAAAUCACUGUGAGAAAUAAGUAACACAUAAACUAGAGAAAUGUUUUUUCUUACUGUUUAAGAGCUUGCUUUAUGUUUCUCAGUCUCAUAUAUACUUUACUCUCUAAAAUCAGGUAAAAGAAAGAAGCUUUAAAAUAACCAGCAUUUGGAAUGCAGCUGCCCUGAACUCAUCCAUUAAUUAAUAAAAAUAAAUAGGAAACCUAAGGGUCUACGAUAUCUGAUCCGAUUUUAAAAAAGUUUUAAAAAUGACACAUUCUUUUGGAAUUCAGUACCAUAUUUCUUUGACAUAGUUUUAGAGUUCAGUCCAUUUUGUCAUUUUUUUCCUUUUAUUUCUUAAAUAAACCUUUAGGUGAUAUGCUAACAAAUCCAAUAGAUUUCAAUAAUGUUUCCAAGAAAGUGAAAUUUCAUUCUACUGAAAUAUGUUACCUGAUUUUUGCAACAAGUCUACCCUGCCCAAGUUUGCCUAAUUCAACAACCUAAAGCCUUUGAUUGAAAUUUCUCUGGAAUUUCCUAGGAAAGUUGAGUCACAAGUAUCUAUUCCAAUAUCAGUAAAAGUACCUAACUGAAUCCUUUUAACUUUCAUGAAAGUAAACAAGAUAAUCUGAUAUACUACAUAAUUUUCACAACUGAGGAAUCAAACUUUUUCAAUAGAAGUGAGAAUGAUUAUAUAAAAUUAUCCAUUGUAACUUACAUAAUGUAACGUUUAGUAAACUCUCUUGUAUACCAAGGCCGAGGGCAUUUGCUGAAGUUAAUAUCAGAACCCUAAAGAUAAUAACUGAACGUUUCAUUUCCAAUAUUUGGUGUUUAUGGGAUAAGAUUAAUUUUAGAUAGAUUCAUUGUGGGCUGUUUUUAUUCUUUUCAUAGCUACACUUUAUCAGCUGACAUAAUUACCUCAUUUUUAUGAGUUAGUCUUACAAAAAGCCCUAAAAUUUUAACAGAAUGAAUUGUCACACAAACAGCAUUU